rnacentral:misc_RNA from 1 species
GUGUACUACAAUAUAAGAGAUUUCAUGCAUAACUUAAAGUAAAUCUUUCUAUAAAUUAAAGUAAGAAGGUACCUCGCACUUUAAUUGCAUAUUAAAAUAAAAAAUUUUGUAUUUUUGCUUUCUUCACACUCUUAAAUCUUAUUCAUUCAUUUUUCCCCUUAAUAUUAAGAUUCAUUAUUAUUUAAUCUCUAAACAUUAGAAUUAUCUAUUAUUUUAUUCCUCAAUUUUGCAAUUAUUUAAAGUUUCUCU